GUCCCUGUAGUUUAAUGGAUAGAACACUCCCCUCCUAAGGGAGAAAUCCACGUUCGAUUCGUGGUGGGGACA
rnacentral:tRNA from 1 species